CGUAGGGUGCAGGCGUUAAUCGGAAUUACUGGGCGUAAAGCGUGCGCAGGCGGUUUCUUAAGUCAGAUGUGAAAGCCCCGGGCUUAACCUGGGAACUGCGUUUGAAACUGGGAGACUUGAGUGUGGCAGAGGGGGGUGGAAUUCCACGUGUAGCAGUGAAAUGCGUAGAUAUGUGGAGGAACACCAAUGGCGAAGGCAGCCCCCUGGGUCAACACUGACGCUCAUGCACGAAAGCGUGGGGAGCAAACAGGAUUAGAUACCCUGGUAGUCCACGCCCUAAACGAUGUCAACUGGUUGUUGGGGGAUUAACUCCCUUAGUAACGAAGCUAACGCGUGAAGUUGACCGCCUGGGGAGUACGGCCGCAAGGUUA
rnacentral:rRNA from 1 species